GUGGGGAAUCUUGCGCAAUGGGAGCAAUCCUGACGCAGCGACGCCGCGUGGGGGAGGAAGGGCUUCGGCUCGUAAACCCCUGUUGCCCGGGGCGAACCUCUGGUUUCGACCAGACUGCCGGUACCGGGUGAGGAAGCACCGGCUAACUCCGUGCCAGCAGCCGCGGUAAUACGGAGGGUGCGAGCGUUGUCCGGAAUCACUGGGCGUAAAGGGCGCGUAGGCGGCAUGCCAAGCGUGUGGUGAAAGCCCGGGGCUCAACCCCGGGUCGGCCGUGCGGACUGGCAUGCUCGAGCACUGUAGGGGCGGGUGGAAUUCCGGGUGUAGCGGUGGAAUGCGUAGAGAUCCGGAAGAACACCGGUGGCGAAGGCGGCCCGCUGGGCAGGAAGACCCCGCAAGGGGUCGGCUGACGCUGAGGCGCGACAGCGUGGGGAGCAAAC
rnacentral:rRNA from 1 species